CGUAGUUACAACGUAACUCGCUGAAAUACCUCGACAUCAUUGACAUCGACAUCCUAGCUAGAUGCGCGAUCCAUAAAAAAUGCAUUCCCAGUAGUGCAAUUUCUUAUAAGUCCUAAGGAACAAAAACCUUAUGACUAUACGAAAGUAAGCCGGGCCCAGUCCCGCAUAAUCUCUUAGAUCGCACGAGUAAAAAUGCCGAACACAUCUUCGCUACUCGGAUGCGAUCUAAGAAGCUAACAGGUGGGCCGAUCUAAUAUUCUCACCUACAGCAUACUAAACCGAGUCCUUACUCGUAAACAAAACAGGAUAAGCCGAGGUCUUACCUCACACCUACAGAUCUAAUAAGCCGAGUUCCCACUUCGCAUUUAUUUCAGUCUAUAUAUAUAUGUUCGAUUAACCAAGUUCAAACUCGCAUUAUAUUACUCGUCAAUCUUGUAGCUAGAUAGCUCGUCAACCUCGCAGCUCGUCAUCCUCGCAGCUUGUCGACCUCACAGCUCGUCGACCUCGCAGCUUGUUGACCUCGCAGCUUUGCGGAUCCUCGUCUAUACGACUUUGAGCUCGUCAAUCUCGCAGCUUGUCGACCUCGCAGCUCGUCAACCUCGCAACUUGUUGAACUCGCAGCUCGUCGACCUCGCAGCUUGUCGACCUUGCAGUUCAUCAACCUUGCAGCUUUGCGGCUCCUCGUCUAUUUGACUUUGAGCUCGUCAACCUCGCAGUUUGUCGACCUCGCAGCUCGUCAACUUCGCAGCUUGUCGACUUCGUAACUUGUCGACCUCGCAGCUCGUCGACCUCGCAGCUUGUCGACCUCGCAGCUUGUCGAC
rnacentral:lncRNA from 1 species